AUUCCUUUGGUGAGUGACACAAUUCAUGAUAAGAUAGGAGGAUAGAGGAGGUUUGGUAGAACUGUAUUAUUGUGAUAAAUUGUCAUUGCAUAACCACCACACAAACACUAGUGAUACAAACAAGCCACCUACUUUAGUGGGUUAAAAGACACAUCAUGAUCUUGGCCUUAAAUGAAAAGCAAAACAAAAGCCACUCCAUGAGAACAUGCCACUGUCACACACAUUCCCUCUAGCCCCUCUUACUGAUGAACUUCCAAAUAGAUACAUCCACAGAAAACAAACAAAUAAAGCAGCAGCAGCUUGAAUUGAAACAGUAUCAAUGGAUUCACUUGGAUUUGAAUGGAAUUGCUCUGAUCACGACCUGGUGGUACAAUGCUGCAAGUGCUGCUCCAAUGAAUGGUCCUACCCAGAAGAUCCACUGUAAAAUAGCAACAUAUAUUCCAUCAAAUUAGUGAUGAGAUGAAACAAUAAUUGUUAAAUUAAUUAAACACUUGCAAAGUUUGUAACUUAAUAUUUUGUUACAAAUGGGACUGGCUAGCAAGUAAUGGAGUAGUGUUCGCUUACAUGGUCAUCCCAGGCAUGGUCCUUGUUGAAGAUGAUGGCGGCACCAAGACUCCUAGCUGGGUUGAUACCCGUGCCGGUAAUGGGAAUAGUCGCCAAAUG
rnacentral:lncRNA from 1 species